AGGCACCGGGGUAGAGGGGCACCGUGAGGCGGGAGGGGGCCGCCGGACUGAGCUGAGGGGUAGGUACGGCGGCCGGCCCGGGCCUCCCCCCGCCCGCCGCGCCUCCGCCCGAAGCUCCCUGGAUGCACGGGGCUCCCCCCCCCCAGCCCCCCGGGGGCGGCGGGGCGACGGCGGGGGCCCGCGGCGGCGCUCGGGCGGGCGGACUACUUGACGUGUCGGUGCGGCGAAUUUAUUUCACUUUGCCUAAGGAACGGGGUGUGCUGCGGCACCCAUUGCCUAGGGAAAAAACCCGGAUGUAAAGUCAACCUAAAGAAGAUUUGAAGUCUGUCUGGAAACCUGAGGGUCCCACUUCUUUACUGAGGCAGGGAGCAUUGAAAACUGGAAAUCUGAAGUACAAGUUGAUGCACCUUGUUGAUGCACAUGAGUGAAACCCUGUGAUAAAAUGUAGCACCCCAAAUUCCAACCAAGUGAAAGCAGCAUUCAACAAUAGUGUGCAACCUUCCAUCUUCCAAGUUAAAUCAGGCCACAGGUAGUAUGGAAACAUGUAAGUUCCAAGAAAGAAAUGUCGUUUAUUGCCCUCAGAUUCAGCACCUACAAGGAACCUAGCACAAAGUAAGUGCUCAGGAAAUAUUCGUGGCUUUGGUUAGCAAUGGGGAGGGAGGACGAGUCCCAGAACAUUCUCCAGAGUCUGCCUGAGCAGAGCAAAGGAUGAAGGCUUUGUGUUGCCCACAACACUGGGGACCACAAACAGCACUGAGUGUCUGCUUUAAGGCUCGCUUCUAGGCACCAUAGGAAUCAGAGAACUAAGAUGACUGAUGUAAGCAGCUACUGCUGUUUGUAUCUCCGCGGAGCAGUCAGCCAGGCCAACCCUUAGAGGGCAGAUACUCCCCUCACCUUGUCCCCCCCACCUCGGAAGCCGGUUUUAGGACCAAUCCACUCUAGGAGAGGCCUUGAAGCCGGACCCCAAGGCUCCCCAACAUCUUCCAGCGCCAGGAAACUGACUCUGGCUCGCAGUAAGGCAGCCGGGCCUGCCCUUGUCUGAACCUGCGUCCUUGAGACUCAGCCAAACCUCUCCCGGCUUGGCGGAGGGAUGUUGAGGUGACAUUCUCCUCCUGCCACUCAGCAUCUUUUAAACAGCCCUCCUCCUCCACCCCGGGAGAAGACGCACGAACUCACUGGAGACUGGGGCCACGGGAGCUGAAAAU